GUAUCUGUGGCCUAGCCGUUUGAGCGUUGCACUAUGACUCUGGGAGACCAGGGUUCGAAUCCCCACUGAUCCG